rnacentral:miRNA from 1 species
CCGAGGAAGCCUUUAGUCCCUCCUACCCACAGUGUAUGCUAGCUGUCACCGCAGUGAACCUGUGGAAUGUGGGAGGGGCAUUCAGUGUGU